UUACCUCCUCAAGCUGGCUGGUCUCCAGUCUGGGCUGGGCAAGUAUCUCUUCAAAAAGCUCACCCUCGAGCACGACUAGGAGC
rnacentral:pre_miRNA from 1 species